rnacentral:rRNA from 1 species
CCCUUAGAUGUUCUGGGCUGCACGCGCGCUACACUGAUGCGUUCAACGAGUUUAUGACCUUGCCCGAUAGGGUUGGGUAAUCUUUUUAAAUCGCAUCGUGAUGGGGAUAGAUUAUUGCAAUUAUUAAUCUUCAACGAGGAAUUCCUAGUAAGCGCAAGUCAUCAGCUUGCGUUGAUUACGUCCCUGCCCUUUGUACACACCGCCCGUCGCUCCUACCGAUUGAAUGGUCCGGUGAAGCGUUUGGACUAUGGUUUUCUGACGGUUCGCCAUUGGAUUACCGUGGGAAAUUCGUUAAACCUUAUCAUUUAGAGGAAGGAGAAGUCGUAACA